ensembl:lncRNA
CCUGUCUUGCAUUUGUAGGAGUUCUUGACAUAUUUUGGGCCCUGAGCCUAUGCCUGGAUAAGCUACAGAUAUUUUCUCCCAUCCUGUCCCUUGCUUUUCGACUUUGUUUUUUAUUUCUCUUCUUGUUGAGCUGAUAGAUAUUAAUAAAACUUUUCACAGCAAGUCACCAAAAGAGUUAGCAAUUCACCGAAAGAAGCAAUAACAAUGGCCAAGGUGUGAUGAAUGCUUCCUCUAUGCAAAACAAGGCUGCAGCCAGGAAUAUUGUUAAGGAUAUUACCCACCAUGUUGCCUGUCUUCCUCAUGAAGACCUGUGGGGAGACUUUCUUUUUAACCUCUGAAUUUGGAAAAGGAAAGUGCUUAAGGCUCACGUCCUCCGGCGUCCACCUCUCAGAAUAACAGAAAACGUCCCAUCGGUGUCCAAGCGCAUCCUGCUGUGACAUUCCACUGCGUCAAAAGAGACUCCCUCCUUCUUUAAUUAUAAGUGACCGGAGGGUGGGGGUCUUUUCUCCACAGUGUGUCUCCCAAAGCUCUUAACACAAGGCCAGUCGUAGUAACAACUCCUUUUUCCUUUUCCGAAAACUCACUCACGGUCAACACACACACAGAGUCUUCCUUCUCGGGGGUCCCAGAGGAUAGGCAAAGUGGGCUACUGGCAAGUUUAGUGGUACAACUGGAUCCCCCUUUUAUAGAGGCAGUCUCAUUGUAAUAAAGAUAAUUUUUGGAAAGUCCUAGGUUUGAGU